rnacentral:rRNA from 1 species
GCUAGUAAUCGCAGAUCAGCAUGCUGUGGUGAAUACGUUCCCGGGCCUUGUACACACCGCCCGUCACACCAUGGGAGUCGGUAACACCCAAAGUUGGUAGUCUAACCGCAAGGAGGACGCCGCCUAAGGUGGGAUUGAUGACUGGGGUGAAGUCGUAACAAGGUACC